CCAAUAGCGUAUAUUAAAGUUGUUGCAGUUAAAAAGCUCGUAGUUGAAUUUCGGGAUUAGUACGUUGGUCGUGCCUUAGGUACGUACUGGUGUUACUGGUUCCUACCUUCUGACGAACCAUCAUGUCAUUAAUUUGGUGUGGCGGGGAAUCAGGACUGUUACUUUGAAAAAAUUAGAGUGUUUAAAGCAAGCUAACGCUUGAAUACAUUAGCAUGGAAUAAUGAAAUAGGACGUUCGAUCCUAUUUUGUUGGUUUCUAGGAUUGACGUAAUGAUUAAUAGGGAUAGUUGGGGGCAUUAGUAUUCAAUUGUCAGAGGUGAAAUUCUUGGAUUUAUUGAAGACUAACUACUGCGAAAGCAUUUGCCAAGGAUGUUUUCAUUAAUCAAGAACGAAAGUUAGGGGAUCGAAGACGAUCAGAUACCGUCGUAGUCUUAACCAUAAACUAUGCCGACUAGGAAUCAGACGAUGUUAAUUUUUUAAUGACUCGUUUGGCACCUUACG
rnacentral:rRNA from 1 species